UGCAGUCGAGCGGAAAGGCCCUUCGGGGUACUCGAGCGGCGAACGGGUGAGUAACACGUGAGCAACCUGCCCCUGACUCUGGGAUAAGCCUGGGAAACCGGGUCUAAUACCGGAUAUGACACGCCUUCGCAUGGGGUGCGUGUGGAAAGUUUUUUCGGUUGGGGAUGGGCUCGCGGCCUAUCAGCUUGUUGGUGGGGUAGUGGCCUACCAAGGCGACGACGGGUAGCCGGCCUGAGAGGGCGACCGGCCACACUGGGACUGAGACACGGCCCAGACUCCUACGGGAGGCAGCAGUGGGGAAUAUUGCGCAAUGGGCGGAAGCCUGACGCAGCGACGCCGCGUGGGGGAUGACGGCCUUCGGGUUGUAAACCUCUUUCAGCAGGGACGAAGGUGACGUGUACCUGCAGAAGAAGCGCCGGCUAACUACGUGCCAGCAGCCGCGGUAAUACGUAGGGCGCAAGCGUUGUCCGGAAUUAUUGGGCGUAAAGAGCUCGUAGGUGGCUUGUCGCGUCGGGUGUGAAAGCGUGGGGCUUAACUCCAGGUCUGCAUUCGAUACGGGCUGGCUAGAGGUAGGUAGGGGAGAACGGAAUUCCUGGUGUAGCGGUGAAAUGCGCAGAUAUCAGGAGGAACACCGGUGGCGAAGGCGGUUCUCUGGGCCUUACCUGACGCUGAGGAGCGAAAGCGUGGGGAGCGAACAGGAUUAGAUACCCUGGUAGUCCACGCUG
rnacentral:rRNA from 1 species